CGGGUUGUAAAGCCCUUUUGUUGGGAAAGAAAUCCUAUCGGUUAAUAACCGGUGGGGAUGACGGUACCCUAAGAAUACGCACCGGCUAACUUCGUGCGAGCAGCCUCGGUAAUACUAAGGGUGCAAGCGUUACUCGGAAUUACUGGGCGUAAAGCGUGCGUAGGUGGUGGUUUAAGUCUGCUGUGAAAGCCCUGGGCUCAACCUGGGAAUUGCAGUGGAUACUGGAUCACUAGAGUGUGGUAGAGGGAUGCGGAAUUUCUGGUGUAGCAGUGAAAUGCGUAAAGAUCAGAAGGAACAUCCGUGGCGAAGGCGGCAUCCUGGGCCAACACUGACACUGAGGCACGAAAGCGUGGGGAGCAAACAGGAUUAGAUACCCUGGUAGUCCACGCCCUAAACGAUGCGAACUGGAUGUUGGGUGCAACUUGGCACCCAGUAUCGAAGCUAACGCGUUAAGUUCGCCGCCUGGGG
rnacentral:rRNA from 1 species